GAAGGUGGCCUGUGAGGGUUGCUGGAGGUAUCAGAAGUGCGAAUGCUGACAUAAGUAACGAUAAAGCGGGUGAAAAGCCCGCUCGCCGGAAGACCAAGGGUUCCUGUCCAACGUUAAUCGGGGCAGGGUGAGUCGACCCCUAAGGCGAGGCCGAAAGGCGUAGUCGAUGGGAAACGGGUUAAUAUUCCCGUACUUGGUGUUACUGCGAAGGGGGGACGGAGAAGGCUAUGUUGGCCGGGCGACGGUUGUCCCGGUUUAAGCGUGUAGGUGUGUGUUCCAGGUAAAUCCGGUUCACUUUAACACUGAGGCGUGAUGACGAGGCACUACGGUGCUGAAGCAACAAAUGCCCUGCUUCCAGGAAAAGCCUCUAAGCAUCAGGUAACAUCAAAUCGUACCCCAAACCGACACAGGUGGUCAGGUAGAGAAUACCAAGGCGCUUGAGAGAACUCGGGUGAAGGAACUAGGCAAAAUGGUGCCGUAACUUCGGGAGAAGGCACGCUGACAUGUAGGUGAAGUGAUUUACUCAUGGAGCUGAAGUCAGUCGAAGAUACCAGCUGGCUGCAACUGUUUAUUAAAAACACAGCACUGUGCAAACACGAAAGUGGACGUAUACGGUGUGACGCCUGCCCGGUGCCGGAAGGUUAAUUGAUGGGGUCAGCGCAAGCGAAGCUCCUGAUCGAAGCCCCGGUAAACGGCGGCCGUAACUAUAACGGUCCUAAGGUAGCGAAAUUCCUUGUCGGGUAAGUUCCGACCUGCACGAAUGGCGUAAUGAUGGCCAGGCUGUCUCCACCCGAGACUCAGUGAAAUUGAACUCGCUGUGAAGAUGCAGUGUACCCGCGGCAAGACGGAAAGACCCCGUGAACCUUUACUAUAGCUUGACACUGAACAUUGAGCCUUGAUGUGUAGGAUAGGUGGGAGGCUUUGAAGUGUGGACGCCAGUCUGCAUGGAGCCGACCUUGAAAUACCACCCUUUAAUGUUUGAUGUUCUAACGUGGACCCGUGAUCCGGGUUGCGGACAGUGUCUGGUGGGUAGUUUGACUGGGGCGGUCUCCUCCUAAAGAGUAACGGAGGAGCACGAAGGUUGGCUAAUCCUGGUCGGACAUCAGGAGGUUAGUGCAAUGGCAUAAGCCAGCUUGACUGCGAGCGUGACGGCGCGAGCAGGUGCGAAAGCAGGUCAUAGUGAUCCGGUGGUUCUGAAUGGAAGGGCCAUCGCUCAACGGAUAAAAGGUACUCCGGGGAUAACAGGCUGAUACCGCCCAAGAGUUCAUAUCGACGGCGGUGUUUGGCACCUCGAUGUCGGCUCAUCACAUCCUGGGGCUGAAGUAGGUCCCAAGGGUAUGGCUGUUCGCCAUUUAAAGUGGUACGCGAGCUGGGUUUAGAACGUCGUGAGACAGUUCGGUCCCUAUCUGCCGUGGGCGCUGGAGAACUGAGGGGGGCUGCUCCUAGUACGAGAGGACCGGAGUGGACGCAUCACUGGUGUUCGGGUUGUCAUGCCAAUGGCACUGCCCGGUAGCUAAAUGCGGAAGAGAUAAGUGCUGAAAGCAUCUAAGCACGAAACUUGCCCCGAGAUGAGUUCUCCCUGAGACUUAGAGUCUCCUGAAGGAACGUUGAAGACGACGACGUUGAUAGGCCGGGUGUGUAAGCGCAGCGAUGCGUUGAGCUAACCGGUACUAAUGAACCGUGAGGCUUAACCUUACAACGCCGAAG
rnacentral:rRNA from 1 species